GAAUACACGUGCUGCAGCAAAACAUUAUCAACAUUAGUAGGCUGGAAACGUUCGCUAGCUGUGACAGUUGCUUGCCUCAGUCUGUUCGGACGUCACGCAUAUCAAUAACAAAUUCGGAGAUCGCACUAAACUCUGAACAUAAUCAGUUCAAAUUUUCAGUCAUUUUUCUAGUUACCAGUGAAACUAAAAAAUACGAAGCAAAACCUCUACCGGCAAACUCUCAAACUGUACAAAGACCUCCCGAGAACGGAUGAUAUGCUGGAAGAAUUACCUGGCCGUGCUAAUCCACCGUGCAAACUCGUCGAACACCAACGGCGAUGCUGAUCGCUGACAGAUAUUCCUUAAAGAAGCUACUGCUGACUAGUUGAACCGAGAUACUACUCGCUCAUUCUCUCUCUGUCUCACUCACAAAAG